GGGGGUAUAGCUCAGUAGUAGAGCACAUGCUUAGCAUGCAUGAGGUCCUGGGUUCAAUCCUAGCACUCCAU
rnacentral:tRNA from 1 species